rnacentral:rRNA from 1 species
CGAUAAUUAUUGUCCCCCACCCCCGUUUAUAAUUUAUGGUGCGGCUAUCUUUUCUGUAAUAUAUGGGGAGAUAGAAUCACGCAACCGUAGUGUUUGAUCCUGGCUCAGGACGAACGCUGGCGGCGUGCCUAAUACAUGCAAGUCGAGCGGACAGAUGGGAGCUUGCUCCCUGAUGUUAGCGGCGGACGGGUGAGUAACACGUGGGUAACCUGCCUGUAAGACUGGGAUAACUCCGGGAAACCGGGGCUAAUACCGGAUGCUUGUUUGAACCGCAUGGUUCAAACAUAAAAGGUGGCUUCGGCUACCACUUACAGAUGGACCCGCGGCGCAUUAGCUAGUUGGUGAGGUAAUGGCUCACCAAGGCAACGAUGCGUAGCCGACCUGAGAGGGUGAUCGGCCACACUGGGACUGAGACACGGCCCAGACUCCUACGGGAGGCAGCAGUAGGGAAUCUUCCGCAAUGGACGAAAGUCUGACGGAGCAACGCCGCGUGAGUGAUGAAGGUUUUCGGAUCGUAAAGCUCUGUUGUUAGGGAAGAACAAGUACCGUUCGAAUAGGGCGGUACCUUGACGGUACCUAACCAGAAAGCCACGGCUAACUACGUGCCAGCAGCCGCGGUAAUACGUAGGUGGCAAGCGUUGUCCGGAAUUAUUGGGCGUAAAGGGCUCGCAGGCGGUUCCUUAAGUCUGAUGUGAAAGCCCCCGGCUCAACCGGGGAGGGUCAUUGGAAACUGGGGAACUUGAGUGCAGAAGAGGAGAGUGGAAUUCCACGUGUAGCGGUGAAAUGCGUAGAGAUGUGGAGGAACACCAGUGGCGAAGGCGACUCUCUGGUCUGUAACUGACGCUGAGGAGCGAAAGCGUGGGGAGCGAACAGGAUUAGAUACCCUGGUAGUCCACGCCGUAAACGAUGAGUGCUAAGUGUUAGGGGGUUUCCGCCCCUUAGUGCUGCAGCUAACGCAUUAAGCA